AUGACUAUUCAGGCUACUCAGUGGGGAUUGUCGCUGGCAUCGUGAUUGGGGUUCUCGUCCUGGUGGCUCUGGGGACCUCCCUGGGGUGUUUCGUGUACCACAGGAGGACUGGGAGGGCCAGUGACCUACAAGGCCUCACAGAGCACCGACCCCCAGCGCCCACCCCUAGCCAGGGUCCCUCUGGAGCCUCCAUCUCCCCGGGCCCCCUCCCCGGGACCAGGACAGCCAGCCCCAUCUACGA